AUUUUUAUUCAGUUUUUUAGCGAUGGAAUGUAAAGUUGAAAUUAAGAAAGAGGUUGAAGAGUACCAACAAAAUGAUAUACAGCUAUCCACAUCAAUAGAUGUGGAAGAUUUGAAAAAGGAAAGAGGAGAAGAUGUCCCAGUUUGCAAGCAGAUUUUGAAAGCAAGUAACUGUUUAUAAAAAUCAAAUGAAAUGUCUUUAUCAUCUUUAGCAAUCAGUCCUUCAACUUACUUUUUUAUAUCAUUUGGAAAUGAUGAAAGUUUCACGGAUUGUAAUAGGUACUUCAAAUUCAAAUGUAUUACUUAAGUUACAGAUACUUUUAAAAAUGUGUUUGGUGUGAAAAAUCAAUAAAGUCGAUUCGCUAAUCUGAGACACAA
rnacentral:misc_RNA from 1 species